GUAAGGGAUAUUGCGCAAUGGGCGAAAGCCUGACGCAGCAACGCCGCGUGGAGGAUGAAGGCCUUCGGGUCGUAAACUUCUUUUAGCAGGGACGAGGAAGGACGGUACCUGCGGAAUCAGUCACGGCUAACUACGUGCCAGCAGCCGCGGUAAAACGUAGGUGGCAAGCGUUAUCCGGAUUUACUGGGCGUAAAGGGUGUGCAGGCGGGCGUGCAAGUGGUGUAUGAAAUCUCCAGGCUUAACCUGGAGGGGUUAUGCCAGACUGCAUGUCUAGAGGACGAGAGAGGGGGGUGGAAUUCCGGGUGUAGUGGUGAAAUGCGUAGAGAUCCGGAGGAACCCCAGAGGCGAAGGCGGCCCCCUGGCUCGUACCUGACGCUCAGCCACGAAAGCAUGGGGAGCGAACGGGAUUAGAAACCCCUGUAGUCC
rnacentral:rRNA from 1 species